GAUGAACGCUGGCGGCGUGCCUAAUACAUGCAAGUCGAGCGAACGGACGAGAAGCUUGCUUUUCUGAUGUUAGCGGCGGACGGGUGAGUAACACGUGGAUAACCUACCUAUAAGACUGGGAUAACUUCGGGAAACCGGAGCUAAUACCGGAUAAUAUUUUGAACCGCAUGGUUCAAAAGUGAAAGACGGUCUUGCUGUCACUUAUAGAUGGAUCCGCGCUGCAUUAGCUAGUUGGUAAGGUAACGGCUUACCAAGGCAACGAUGCAUAGCCGACCUGAGAGGGUGAUCGGCCACACAGGAACUGAGACACGGUCCAGACUCCUACGGGAGGCAGCAGUAGGGAAUCUUCCGCAAUGGGCGAAAGCCUGACGGAGCAACGCCGCGUGAGUGAUGAAGGUCUUCGGAUCGUAAAACUCUGUUAUUAGGGAAGAACAUAUGUGUAAGUAACUGUGCACAUCUUAAAGGUACCUAAUCAGAAAGCCACGGCUAACUACAUG
rnacentral:rRNA from 1 species